rnacentral:rRNA from 1 species
CCUACGGGAGGCAGCAGUGAGGAAUAUUGGUCAAUGGGCGCGAGCCUGAACCAGCCAAGUCGCGUGAGGGAAGACGGUCCUAUGGAUUGUAAACCUCUUUUGUCGGGGAGCAAAGCGAACCACGUGUGGUUCAUUGAGAGUACCCGAAGAAAAAGCAUCGGCUAACUCCGUGCCAGCAGCCGCGGUAAUACGGAGGAUGCGAGCGUUAUCCGGAUUUAUUGGGGUUAAAGGGUGCGCAGGCGGAGGUGCAAGUCAGCGGUCAAAUUGCGGGGCUCAACCCCGUACUGCGGUUGAAACUGCAUCCCUUGAGUGCGCGAGAGGUAUGCGGAAUGCGUGGUGUAGCGGUGAAAUGCAUAGAUAUCACGAAGAACACCGGUGGCGAAGGCAGCAUACCGGCGCGCAACUGACGCUCAUGCACGAAAGCGUGGGUAUCGAACAGGAUUAGAUACCCGAGUAGUC